UGCAUUUGAGUCAUCAAUUCUGGGUCGACCCAUAUUCAUUUCUGGCACCAAAACCUCUUCGUUCUUGCAUUACAAUCGGGUUUCGAAGAUACCCUUUAAGGUUUCCCAAAAGAGUUAUCAAUACCCACCUCGUGUUUCAUCAAAACUUACCGAUUUUAGAACUUACUGUAGUUUAAUAUUAAAAAAAAUAUCUUCAUGAAAUUUUAUUAAAAUUAAACUAUGUUUUUUAUUUGUUGUUUAAAUUUUAUUUAAACUUAUCAAGUUGGCUCAAUCCCGUCAAAAUAAUUUUAUAUAGUUUAAUUUUAAAUUUGUACUAAAUAAAAAGAUAGAUAGAUAGAUUUCGAAGGUUGUCCCUCGCCCUAAUCUAGUUUAAUAAGAAUACCAUGUAAUUUGUUAUGAAUUAAUAUUUUUUUUACGUACAAGCCGCAUGUAGCCAGACAAAUAGACUAGCUGUGCCACAACGUAAGUAAUUUAAGGGGCAAAACCGAUAUUAAACCAAAUAACAAGGGGCAAACACAGUCAUUUCAUCUUCCACGCCGCUCGCUCAAGCAAAAUCUCUUCGACGCCAACCAAAAAUUGACGCAACCCAAAAGCCAACGCCACCUCCACGGGUCCACCAACACCAAACAAUUUUUAAAUUUCUUUUCAUCUGAAUAUAUGAAAAUCUCCCUUCCAAUAAAAAUGAAACCACCAAAUUCUUAGUUUUGGUGCCAGCUGAACUUAACUUCGAAAUUUUGGGUUUUGAGUGAGGUUGUUUCUUACUUAUGGUAAUGGAGAUUGCAUUUGAGUCAUCAAUUCUGGGUCGACCCAUAUUCAUUUCUGGCACCAAAACCUCUUCGUUCUUGCAUUACAAUCGGGUUUCGAAGAUACCCUUUAAGGUUUCCCAAAAGAGUUAUCAAUACCCACCUCGUGUUUCAUCAAAACUUACCGAUUUUAGAACUUACUGUAGUUCAAUUUUGCCAAGAAUUCGUUCAAAAUCAUCUCGCAAUGUUAGGACUGAUCUGGGUACUGAUCAAAAUGUGAACUUGGAGUUAAUAAAAGUGUUGUUGAAAAGG
rnacentral:lncRNA from 1 species